rnacentral:tRNA from 1 species
UGUGGGGUGUAGCAGUGGUAGCUAACGAGCCUCAUAAGCUCGGAGUCGGUGGUUGCCUUUCGGCCUUCUCCUCGCUCCUCGGCAAAGAUUCAAGCAAGCUUGUCUUUGCUCUCAGAGCUUCGUCGAGUCGAGUCCAUCCCCCGCAA